UACGUAGGGUGCAAGCGUUAUCCGGAAUUAUUGGGCGUAAAGAGCUCGUAGGCGGUUUGUCGCGUCUGCUGUGAAAGCUGGGGGCUCAACCCCGGGCCUGCGGUGGGUACGGGCAGACUAGAGUGCGGUAGGGGAGACUGGAAUUCCUGGUGUAGCGGUGAAAUGCGCAGAUAUCAGGAGGAACACCGGUGGCGAAGGCGGAUCUCUGGGCCGUAACUGACGCUGAGGAGCGAAAGCAUGGGGAGCGAACAGG
rnacentral:rRNA from 1 species